rnacentral:lncRNA from 1 species
CUAUAUACAACCCAAGAAAGGAGCCAAGUUUAGACCAUAGUUACUUAAUUCGGAUUCGGCAAAAAUUCGAUACGGGUACAAUUCGGAUGAAAUUUCUCUUCUAAUUUUUAACUUAGCUAAAAAAUACGGCUAAAAACCGGAUUCGCCAAUUAUUCGAAUACGUGAUUUUUAUGGAUAUUAUACGUUCACCAAUUAAAAAUUCGAGAUAAAAAAUUCGGCUAUUAAAUUAAGUUUUCUUUCUCUCAAGAUUUAUGCUAUUAACAUAAAUACUCAUAAUUCUAAAGAUUGUAAAGGAGGAAAUUGAUUUAUUGUUGCAUAAUAUUAAUAAAAAAUUCUCAUCUUCAAGGAAAACCAAAAUUCAGUCGCCCUAUCUUUGAAAAUUCAGAUCCAAUACGAAACUAAUUAACCAUUGACUACACUAUAUAUAUAUAGAAUUAUGCUACUAUACUAUCAAUAGUACCAAGUCUUUGGUACUAUUGAGUUUUUGGCCGUUGGAUGAAUAGAUGUGCGGUUAGGAUGAUAGUGGUCCCCGGUUAAAUUGAUAGUGGUCCCCUAGGGUUGAGAGGGUGGUUGUCACGCCCCGGGGUCCUUUUAUUUGUUCAAAAGCACAGCGAAAAAUUAGCUAUAAAUUUUUUUUUGAAAACCUGACCCCAGAGUGCCAGAUCCGCCACAAACACAGGGAAUCCACUGUUCCCACGGACAGAGUCUCCCCUGUAUUUGCACGGCGUCGCACAAGUACAACAGAGUAUAGAUACACACACAACCACAACCAGAUGAACAACAAGAGAGAUAACAUUCAUCCAUUCCAUUCACACACACAGAUAUGAUACUUGAGUUAUGAAAACAUUCCACAUCUAUCAGUUAAAAUGUUUCCUACCUGGAAACUGAUUUUGAAAUACUAAAUCCAUAAAAACCACAGAAAAUUUAAUUUGAAAACUGUUCCCUAC